rnacentral:rRNA from 1 species
AGUGAACGCUGGCGGUAGGCCUAACACAUGCAAGUCGAACGGCAGCACAGGAGAGCUUGCUCUCUGGGUGGCGAGUGGCGGACGGGUGAGGAAUACAUCGGAAUCUACUCUGUCGUGGGGGAUAACGUAGGGAAACUUACGCUAAUACCGCAUACGACCUACGGGUGAAAGCAGGGGACCUUCGGGCCUUGCGCGAUUGAAUGAGCCGAUGUCGGAUUAGCUAGUUGGCGGGGUAAAGGCCCACCAAGGCGACGAUCCGUAGCUGGUCUGAGGGGAUGAUCAGCCACACUGGAACUGAGACACGGUCCAGACGCCGACGGGAGGCAGCAGUGGGGAAUAUUGGACAAUGGGCGCAAGCCUGAUCCAGCCAUACCGCGUGGGUGAAGAAGGCCUUCGGGUUGUAAAGCCCUUUUGUUGGGAAAGAAAUCCAGCUGGCUAAUACCCGGUUGGGAUGACGGUACCCAAAGAAUAAGCACCGGCUAACUUCGUGCCAGCAGCCGCCGUAA